AUGGCUUCCCGGUAAGAAGAAAUAUCCACUUGGUGAAAAACUACCUCGAGGUUAAUUAAUGAUGGAGUCAUUUGUGUUUUGUGUAUUGAGGUCAACAAGAAAAGGAGGCCUCAGGGUUUCCUCUCUUUCAAAAUUAGUGUGAAAAUCUUCAGGGGAACAGAAAGAUAACAAGAAAGAAGUGAGUAAAGCUCACAUACCCCUGUUAUCCCCGUUGGUCAACAACAAAUAGUAAAUAGUUUGUUAAUUAAUGAAAUGUACCUGUUGCUUUAAGUCAGAGGAACUGCCCUUUCCUUUGUAAACCC